AUAUCCUACGGGAGGCAGCAGUGGGGGAUAUUGCACAAUGGGGGGAACCCUGAUGCAGCGACGCCGCGUGGGUGAAGAAGUAUUUCGGUAUGUAAAGCCCUAUCGGCAGGGAAGAAAUUGGACGGUACCUGACUAAGAAGCCCUGGCUAACUACGUGCCAGCAGCCGCGGUAAUACGUAGGGAGCGAGCGUUGUCCGGAAUUACUGGGUGUAAAGGGAGCGUAGGCGGGGGUGGCAGUUGGGUUUCAAAA
rnacentral:rRNA from 1 species